rfam:Cephalotus follicularis DNA, scaffold: scaffold635, isolate: St1.
GAACCAUGAUGAGGACACUCUAAGAGGAGGUCUUUGAAUCAUUCCAUACACCGAGAGAAUGAUUCAUUAGAUUUCUGACAAAACUGGAGAAUAUUGUUCCUAAGCUU